rnacentral:rRNA from 1 species
GACGGAGGGUGCUAGCGUUGUUCGGAAUUACUGGGCGUAAAGGGCGCGUAGGCGGCCUGGGAAGUCGGCUUGUGAAAGCCCGGGGCUCAACCCCGGAGGUGCGGCCGAUACUCUCUGGCUGGAGGCCGGAAGAGGAGGGUGGAAUACCCAGUGUAGAGGUGAAAUUCGUAGAUAUUGGGUGGAACACCGGUGGCGAAAGCGGCUCUCUGGUCCGGACCUGACGCUGAGGCGCGAAAGCGUGGGGAGCAAACAGG